AUUGAACGCUGGCGGCAGGCCUAACACAUGCAAGUCGAGCGCGCGGCGGACGGGUGAGUAAUGUAUGGGGACUGCCCGAUAGAGGGGGAGAACUACUGGAGACGGGGGCUAAAACAGCAUACUGUCUGAUAACCCAUAGGGGAUUAGCUAGUAGGUAAGGUAAUGGCUCACCUAGGCGACGAUCCCUAGCUGGUCUGAGAGGAUGACCCGCCACACUGGGACUGAGACACGGCCCAGACUCCUACGGAGGCAGCAGUGGGGAAUAUUGCACAAUGGGCGCAAGCCUGAUGCAGCCAUGCCGCGUGUAUGAAGAAGGCCCUAGGGUUGUAAAGUACUUUCAGUCGGGAGGCGUUACCGACAGAAGAAGCACCGGCUAACUCCGUGCCAGCAGCCGCGGUAUUAC
rnacentral:rRNA from 1 species